ACAAAAAUCAGCCUGUAAAAUACUCACCUUGAGUAUUUUUUAAACUGUAAAAUGCAAAUUUCCCCCAAAUUCACAGAAAAACAAGCAUGGACACCUCACUGUCCUCAGUGGCAGCGCCGGCGCUGCUGGUUAAUCAGGUGGUCAACUUGCUAGCUGACAGGUUAGUUGGUUGAAUGGAAUGUCAGCCAUGAUGAAACCUUUACUGCCCGCCUCAUACCUCUUUCUAAGCACCCAUGGCCCAUGCAGCAAGCACAUGGCGGCAGAAGUUGAGCUUGCCCGGCUUCAUCUUGUCAUCGCAGGAGCCGCUGUACUCUGGAACGUCGCGGAUGUCCGGGGAACAUUCGAACACCUCCAUGUGAUGCACGAUGGCCUCGUUACCUGGAGUUAUCACUGACUCAUACUGACAGGAACACAGAGAGAGAAAGACGGAGAAAAAGAAGGGAAAAAGCAGCUUCUGUAUGAAGCACCAGUAGGUGGUCUCUUGAUUUGGGAUGACGACGUUUGGCGCCACGACGUCCAGCGUGUUCACGUCCGGAGGCAGGGUGGUCGGCGGCGUGUCGGGGCGAAGCAUCAGCAC